UGAGAGCGAUUACCCAACCAAUCAGACCAGUGCAGAUCAUGUCUACCCAAAAUCUAAAAGCCCAGAACCAGGUUGGCCUCAGAGCCGAGGUCACGCGGCAAGGUGAACCGGGUCUUAAUUCAUGACUAACGAAAACCACAGAUUUCCAUAGCAUACGGAUGAGCAUAAUCCAAAAUGGCCACUGCUCCACACAUCUCUAAUCCCAGUCAGCAUUCGUAAGAGGAGACUAGACUAGACUAGACAAGGCCUCUGCUUCAACAGUUAAGAUGGAACCGCAAAAGUCUCAGGACACAGACAGACACAGACACAAACACUCUCUCUCUCCCAAUAUGUUCAUAGAGUUCUGGAUCAUAGGAAAAGCAGCUUGGCAGGCGUGUGAUGUCUGCCCGUGUGGAAAAGACUCCGGUACUGAAAUAACAUGAACUAGUACCGGGGUUCUGGACCAGACCAGACACGUGAACCAGGCUGGACUCACACAGAUAGGUCCAAUCAGCCCGUUAGGGGUUCUGAUAAUUCUACAUGAUCGUUUUGGAAAGUUCACCUCUGAUGAAUUCUGGGUAAUAAUGACCUCCCUGUGUGUGAUCUGCGCCUGUGCUUGAGGUGUGUGUGCGUGUGUGCGUGUGUGUGUGCGUGCGAGUGUGUGCGUGCGUGUGAUAACAGCCCGUGUGUGUGGAGUAUUACACGAGUGGAUCACUGCCUCGUGAGGUGGGUGUCUCCCCCUAGUGGUGGAAUGUAGUAAGUGCUACAGCGUGCCUCAGAAGUCUGGAAGGGUUUAGAGCUGGUAGGGAGGGAACCGCCAUGAUAUAUCAAAUCAGUAAACCCCAUCCCAAAUCAAUAAUCCCAAAUCAAUAAUCCCAAAUCAAUCAUGAGGUGUACAUUUAGGAGGUUUUGCGCCCGUGAUUAGUGGAGUGUAAAAAAAAAAAGCCCCCUUGAUCUCAGACAGAGGAGGCAGCUGGGCCCCCCUGCAUCUAUACUGGCCUUCAUGCUUCAUGUUCAGCCUAUCCCUCAUCAAGCCAAUGGAGCGAGACAGCAGGCGCAGUGACACCCGUUCGCCACCAGGGGGCAGCGUCGAGCCACACGCACACAGCCUCAACAGAGAGAUAGAAACGGAUGCAACAGGAGCUCCAAUGCAGAUCAGACUAGAAGAAGAAGAAGAGUUUAAAACACUCAGAUAUAACUAAUGACAGGAGCCUG
ensembl:lncRNA